GUGACUGCUACACGAAUGUAAGCUAUUUUUUUGCAAGAGGAAGUGUAAUGGGGAAGGCGUAUAUGCUUUGUUUAAAAAGCAUAUAUGGACACUGGGAUGGUGCAUAAUUAGCCAUUUAACAAAAGGGGAUUGAUACCCACUCGAGAGGACAAAGCGAGCCUUUCUAGAUUUUCUAAACAAGAUUACAGAACUUUAGCAUUCGAGGCACAGGUACAAAGUCAAUGUGAAGAGAAAGGAGGCCAAACAGAUGAUUAAAGUAAUUAUAAACAGCUAAAGUAGCAUGGUGACCUUCAGGAAAGCAAAAGCAAAACAAGAAAGCUUAGGGAAGGAGGAGGAGCAUCUUCUGCUAUAUAAUAAUGAUGGAAUUUCGUAUGCGCGGAAGUGAUGAAUACAGCAGAGUAGAUUGAUUUGCAGAUGCAUUCUGUACUGUAAAGAUUUGAGAUGAUUGUAACUUUCAAUUACAAUUAUUGCAGAAUCAUGCAGUUGCUGUCUUUCUCAAGGACAUGAGUAGACUUAUUUUGCGGUUCUUGUAUUUGGAACAUCAUGAUUGCUUAAUCACAAACGUUUGAUUAAUUGCAUGUAUGUGAUUAUUUUAAGAUUAUCAGGUUCAAAAAUGUUAUGCUUGGCAUGUAUUAUAAUAAUAAUAAUUAUUAAUUCUCUGGGUUAAGAUGCUUUUGACAUUAAAAGAAGGAGUAACUUUAUACCAUAUUGGCAUAACAAAUUGGUCUUGUGCUCAAGUUUGUGAUUGGUUAUUUGGGGUUACGAAUUUCCCACUGAUUCAGCUUUUAAUAAAAGAAUUUCACUUUUUUUUUUUUUUUUUUUAGAGAGAGGGAAAGGAAAAAGAAAUACUUUCUGAAUGGCACCAUACUUCAUUGCAGCCAGUAUUAACUAUUUGUUUUGUAUUUGAGUGCAAUUAAAAAAAUAUUAUAUGAUUUCGAAAUUUUUAUUAGUACAAAUACAUUUUUAGAUUUAUUUUAAGAGAAGGGGAAUUUAUUGAAGUGUAUGUAAAAUAUUCAGGCAUCACUUAAGCUUUGAUUUAAAAUCAAAUUCAACAUAUUUGAACUGAAUUAUAUGACAUAGAUAGCAGGAAGUAUAUGAUAUAUGUUUUCUAUUUGAUUGCAAAUUGAUAUUUUCUAAAAUCAUUAAUUAUAUAUUAUGUGCCAAAAGUAUGUUAUUAUUAUUAGUAAUUAUGGAUGGGUGGAGCGAGAGAC